CCAACGGCCCUCUUUAGGGCCACAAAUUUUCUCGAAUAUGCUUGA
rfam:Ancylostoma duodenale strain Zhejiang A_duodenale-1.0_Cont5825.2, whole genome shotgun sequence.